GUGCUUGCUUUGGCAGCACAUAUACUAAAAAAUGGAAUGAUACAGAGAAGAUUAGCAUGGCCCCUAGGCAAGGAUGAUAUGCAAAUUCGUGAAGCAUUCCAUAUUAAA
rnacentral:snRNA from 1 species